rnacentral:rRNA from 1 species
UACGUAGGGGGCAAGCGUUAUCCGGAUUUACUGGGUGUAAAGGGAGCGCAGGUGGCAAGGCAAGCCAGAAGUGAAAACCCGGGGCUUAACCCCGCGGAUUGCUUUUGGAACUGUCUGGCUGGAGUGCAGGAGGGGCAGGCGGAAUUCCUGGUGUAGCGGUGAAAUGCGUAGAUAUCAGGAGGAACACCGGUGGCGAAGGCGGCCUGCUGGACUGUAACUGGCACUGAGGCUCGAAAGCGUGGGGAGCAAACAGG